rnacentral:rRNA from 1 species
GAUGAACGCUGGCGGCGUGCCUAAUACAUGCAAGUCGAGCGAACAGACGAGGAGCUUGCUCCUCUGACGUUAGCGGCGGACGGGUGAGUAACACGUGGAUAACCUACCUAUAAGACUGGGAUAACUUCGGGAAACCGGAGCUAAUACCGGAUAAUAUAUUGAACCGCAUGGUUCAAUAGUGAAAGACGGUUUUGCUGUCACUUAUAGAUGGAUCCGCGCCGCAUUAGCUAGUUGGUAAGGUAACGGCUUACCAAGGCAACGAUGCGUAGCCGACCUGAGAGGGUGGUCGGCCACACUGGCACUGAGACACGGUCCAGACUCCUACGGGAGGCAGCAGUAGGGAAUCUUCCGCAAUGGGCGAAAGCCUGACGGAGCAACGCCGCGUGAGUGAUGAAGGUCUUCGGAUCGUAAAACUCUGUUAUUAGGGAAGAACAAAUGUGUAAGUAACUAUGCACGUCUUGACGGUACCUAAUCAGAAAGCCACGGCUAACUACGUG